CACGUAGGGUGCGAGCGUUGUCCGGAAUUAUUGGGCGUAAAGAGCUCGUAGGCGGUGUGUCACGUCGGCCGUGAAAACCUGCAGCUUAACUGUGGGCGUGCGGUCGAUACGGGCAUCACUGGAGUUCGGCAGGGGAGACUGGAAUUCCUGGUGUAGCGGUGAAAUGCGUAGAGAUGCGGAGGAACACCGAUGGCGAAGGCAGCCCCCUGGGCCAAUACUGACGCUCAGGCACGAAAGCGUGGGGAGCAAACAGG
rnacentral:rRNA from 1 species